UACGUAGGGUGCAAGCGUUAAUCGGAAUUACUGGGCGUAAAGCGUGCGCAGGCGGUUGUGCAAGACAGAUGUGAAAUCCCCGGGCUCAACCUGGGAACUGCAUUUGUGACUGCACGGCUGGAGUGCGGCAGAGGGGGAUGGAAUUCCGCGUGUAGCAGUGAAAUGCGUAGAUAUGCGGAGGAACACCGAUGGCGAAGGCAAUCCCCUGGGCCUGCACUGACGCUCAGACACGACAGCAUGGGGAGCGAACGGG
rnacentral:rRNA from 1 species